GACAUGGUUUAGCAGUGGACUUGUAGUGUCAGGUACCUGAUGGAAAUAACCUACUGAUGAAGUGUUGCCAGACAGAAGAAAAGAUCUGAGGAUUAACACUGCAGCUGGUGGAUUGGUGAAAGAGUGAUAUGAAAAUACAGGGCAAAGGAAGGGAGAGAGGAGGCUGUGAAGGAAACUUGAAAUUUACGGACACCUAGUAAAUGAGAUGACAUGGAGAAGAGAUGCUUGUAUGAGUUGGAUGACCCAAAACACAUAUGUCAAGAGGUCCAAAUGGAGAAAGAGAUCACCAGUGGAUGAAGUGCACAGCUGAAAAACAGGUUUAAAUUACUGAAGAGCA
rnacentral:lncRNA from 1 species